UCCGGCGGCAAUGUCGGAGGGGCCACACCCGUUCCCAUCCCGAACACGGAAGUUAAGCCCUCCAGAGCCGAUGGUACUGCAGGGGCCACCCUGUGGGAGAGUAGGACGCUGCCGGGU
rnacentral:rRNA from 1 species